AUGUGUGUGUUCACUAUACUCACUGCUGUGUGUGUGUGUGUGUGUGUAUUCACUAUACUCACUGCUGUGUGUGUGUGUGUGUGUGUGUGUUCACUAUACUCACUGCUGUGUGUGUGUGUGUGUGUGUGUGUGUGUGUGUUCUCUCUACUUGCGUGUGUGUGUGUGUGUGGUGUGUUUGCUCUUGUCGCUGUUGGGUGUGUGUGUGUGUGUGUGUGUGUGUGCGUGCGUGCGUGCGUUCACUAUACUCACUGCUGUGUGUGUAUGUGUGUUCACUAUACUCUGUGCUGUGUGUGUGUGUGUGUGUGUGUGUGUGUUCAGUAUACUCACUGCUGUGUGUGUGUGUGUGUGUGCGUGCGUGCGUGCGUUCACUAUACUCACUGCUGUGUGUGUUUACUAUACUCACUGCUGUGUGUGUGUUCACCAUACUCACUGCUGUGUGUGUGUUUGUGUGUGUGUGUGUGUGUGUUCUCUAUACUCACUGCUGUGUGUGUGUGUUCACUAUACUCACUGCUCUGUGUGUGUGUUCACUAUACUCACUGCUGUGUGUGUUCACUAUACUCACUGCUGUGUGUGUGUUCACCAUACUCACUGCUGUGUGUGUGUGUGUGUGUGAGAGAGAGAGAGUGUGUGUGUGUGCGUGCGUGCGUGUGUGUGUGUGUGUGUGAAAUAAACACACUGCUGUGUGUGUGUGUUCUCUAUUCUCUCUUCUGUGUGUGUGUGUGUGUGGGUUCACUAUACUCACUGCUCUGUGUGUGUGUGUUCACUUUACUCACUGCUGUGUGUGUGUUUGUUCACUAUACUCUCUCCUAUGUGUGUCUCUUCACUCUACUUUCUGCUGUUUGUGUGUGUGUUCACUAUACUUACUGCUGUGUGUGUGUGUGUUGUCUAUACUCGCUGCUGUGUGUGUGUGUUCUCUAUUCUCUCUUCUGUGUGUGUGUGUGUGUGUCUUCAAUAUACUCACUGCUGUGUGUGUGUGUGUGUGUUCACUAUACUCACUGCUCUGUGUGUGUGUGUUCACUUUACUCACUGCUGUGUGUGUUCACUAUACUCGCUGUGUGUGUUCACCAUACUCACUGCUGUGUGUGUGUGUGUGUGUGA
ensembl:lncRNA